rnacentral:lncRNA from 1 species
GUUACCUGGGGUUGUUAUAUAUACUGUUGCCAAAAUUUUCUCUAUAUGGGAAUUGUACCCAUAAGUUCCUAACAUGUCCUUGCUCAGGGUGACAAGCAUCCAAGAUGGCAGGCUGUGUGUGCCACAGAGCACACCAGAAGAAAAGAGCACAACCCUCAGCAUCUCAUUUUAGGGCCUUCACUGCUUUUUUAGCCCCCUGGUAUGACUUGGUAUGAAGCACUAGAAAUUCAGGUGACCAAGGAGGAAGCUACUAAUUUAAAUGAAUAGCUUUGUCAAAAAGAGCCCCCUGAAGAGCUCAGAGGGAGAUAAUGGCUGCCCUGUUUGGAGGCUGGAGUCUGUAGCUGUUUACUGCCUCCAGGGCCAAGCAUUGCUAUAGCAACAAAUGACUUGGCAACAGCUUUGAACAGACUGCUUCUUUGAAAGAGUUUAGAUAAUAGGGAUUACUCAGGUUCUUUCUGAAAGGGAUAACAUAAGGACUUUUUUUAUCCCCUCUUCUCAAACAUAAGGACAUUUGAAAGAAUAAUCCUUUUUCAAAAACUGUACAAUAGAGAGGGAAGGGCUAGAAGGCUUUGCACUCAAAUGUUAGCAGUUAAGUUUCCUAAAUAGAGAUUACAGGGGUUUUUUUUGUUUUGUUUUGUUUGUGGGUUUUUUGGACACUAUUCUGAGUCUUCUAUGAUGCGCAUUUGGUUUUUGUUGUUUUGUUUUUUCUUUUUAUUUAAACUAGUGUUCCCAUUCACUUCUAAAUAACAUUAAUGUAUUUUUUUAAUUUUAUUUUUUAGUUAUACUUGGCCACAAUACCUUUAUUUUAUUUAUAUAUUUUUAUGUGGUGCUAAGGAUCGAACCCAGGGCCUCACACAUGCUAGACGAAUGCUCUACCACUGAGCCACAACAAUGUAUUUUAUUCAUCCUUCUUUCCCAUUUUACUAACUCAAAAUAUAUUUGUGAAAUUAAAAUUAAAUAUUUAGAUUUCUUUAUUAAAUUUAUUUUUAAUCUAGUAAUGAAAAUGUAAAAAGAUAUACAUUAUAG